rnacentral:misc_RNA from 1 species
CAGAGCUACAAAGCUGCUUACAACCCAUAGCGAACAUACCUUCAUCGUUGCUUCGGCGGGUAGCUCGCCCCUCGGGGCCUCGGUGCCCUGGCCUCAGGCCGCCGCCCGCCGGAGGUACUAACUCUUGUAUAUCUGAGAAUCUCUGAGUAGUAGCAAGCAAUAAGUC